CCUACGGGAGGCAGCAGUGGGGAAUAUUGGACAAUGGGGGGAACCCUGGUCCAGCCAUGCCGCGUGUGUGAAGAAGGCCCUCGGGUUGUAAAGCACUUUCAGUGAGGAAGAACGCCUGGUGGUUAAUACCCAUCAGGAAAGACAUCACUCACAGAAGAAGCACCGGCUAACUCCGUGCCAGCAGCCGCGGUAAUACGGAGGGUGCGAGCGUUAAUCGGAAUUACUGGGCGUAAAGCGCGCGUAGGUGGCUUGAUAAGCCGGUUGUGAAAGCCCCGGGCUCAACCUGGGAACGGCAUCCGGAACUGUCAAGCUAGAGUGCAGGAGAGGAAGGUAGAAUUCCCGGUGUAGCGGUGAAAUGCGUAGAGAUCGGGAGGAAUACCAGUGGCGAAGGCGGCCUUCUGGACUGACACUGACACUGAGGUGCGAAAGCGUGGGUAGCAAACAGGAUUAGAUACCCUAGUAGUC
rnacentral:rRNA from 1 species